UCCUCCUUAGCUCAGUUGGUAGAGCAAAGGACUGUUAAUCCUUGGGUCGUUGGUUCGAGUCCAACAGGAGGAG
rnacentral:tRNA from 3 species